GGGGGUGUGGCUCAGUGGUAGAGCCUUGUCUGGCUAUCAGGAAGCCUAGGUUCAAUCUCCCAGUACCUCAA
rnacentral:tRNA from 1 species